rnacentral:ncRNA from 1 species
CACUCUGGAGAGUCUCCGAAAGGAGCGCCGAAGGUGUAAGGCAGCCGCGUGCAGGGGCGCGGGGCCGAUCUCUCAGGCAAAAGGACAGGGCA